UGGUGGAGUGAUUUGUCUGGUUAAUUCCGUUAACGAACGAGACCUCGACCUGCUAAAUAGUUUGGCGAAUUCCCCGUGGAUUCGUGCAUAACUUCUUAGAGGGACUAUCGGUUGCAAGCCGGUGGAAGUUCGAGGCAAUAACA
rnacentral:rRNA from 1 species